rnacentral:rRNA from 1 species
UACGUAGGGUCCGAGCGUUGUCCGGAAUUACUGGGCGUAAAGAGCUCGUAGGUGGUUUGUCGCGUUGUUCGUGAAAACUCACAGCUUAACUGUGGGCGUGCGGGCGAUACGGGCAGACUAGAGUACUGCAGGGGAGACUGGAAUUCCUGGUGUAGCGGUGGAAUGCGCAGAUAUCAGGGGGAACACCGGUGGCGAAGGCGGGUCUCUGGGCAGUAACUGACGCUGAGGAGCGAAAGCGUGGGUAGCGAACAGG